rnacentral:rRNA from 1 species
GACAGAGGAUGCAAGCGUUAUCCGGAAUGAUUGGGCGUAAAGCGUCUGUAGGUGGCUUUUUAAGUCCGCCGUCAAAUCCCAGGGCUCAACCCUGGACAGGCGGUGGAAACUACCAAGCUGGAGUACGGUAGGGGCAGAGGGAAUUUCCGGUGUAGCGGUGAAAUGCGCAGAUAUCGGGAAGAACACCCGUGGCGAAGGCGGUUCUCUGGGACGGUACUGACGCUGAGACGCGAAAGCGUGGGGAGCGAACAGG